rnacentral:misc_RNA from 1 species
GAUGAAGAACGUAGCGAAAUGCGAUAAGUAAUGUGAAUUGCAGAAUUCAGUGAAUCAUCGAAUCUUUGAACGCACAUUGCGCCCCCCAGUAUUCUGGCGGGCAUGCCUGUUCGAGCGUCAUUUCAACCAUCAAGCCCUGCUUGUGUUGGGGUCCUGCGGCUGCCCGCAGGCCCUGAAAACCAGUGGCGGGCUCGCUAGUCACACCGAGCGCAGUAGCAUAUCUCGCUCAGGGCGUGCGGCGGGCUCCAGCCGUUAAAGCACCCACCUUUCGCAAGGUUGACCUCGGAUCAGGUAGGAAUACCCGCUGAACUUAAGCAUAUCAAUAAGCGGAGGA